ACCUGGUUGGCGCAGUGGUCAGCGCGUUGCGGAAAGGUAACCCUGGAUCGGGGAUUCUGCAUUAGGCACAGGUCUUCCACCUCUUGUAGAGGCAAGCGAGCUAAGGCGCCCCGCGAAGGUCCCCCCGGUUUGAAUCCGGGACCGGGUA